rnacentral:lncRNA from 1 species
GUAGUGGUGCCCCUGGUGUGCACCUUUACCCCAAAUGUCUGCACCUUUGCCUACCGCUGCCUCUGCGAACCCCGCUCCUGGACAACAGCUGGGAGGCUCUGUGUUUAAACGCGUGCAGCUUGGACGUCAUGCUUCUGCCUCUGCAAGCCCUUUUGCUGGACGCCGUGGAAGGCCC